AAGGUCCAUCUGGAUGACACAGUGUAGAUGUUGUGGUGGUGGGGGAAGGAAAGUUCCAUCUGGAUGACACAGUGUAGAUGUUGUGGUGGUGGGGGAAGGAAAGUUCCAUCUGGAUUACAUAGUGUAGAUGUUGUGGUGGUGGGAAGGAAAGGUCCAUCUGGAUUACACAGUGUAGAUGUUGUGGUGGUGGGGGAAGGAAAGUUCCAUCUGGAUUACACAGUGUAGAUGUUGUGGUGGUGGGGGAAGGAAAGUUCCAUCUGGAUUACAUAGUGUAGAUGUUGUGGUGGUGGGGGAAGGAAAGUUCCAUCUGGAUGACACAGUGUAGAUGUUGUGGUGGUGGGGGAAGGAAAGUUCCAUCUGGAUGACACAGUGAAGAUGUUGUGGUGGUGGGAAGGAAAGGUCCAUCUGGAUGACACAGUGUAGAUGUUGUGGUGGUGGGGGAAGGAAAGGUCCAUCUGGAUUACACAGUGUAGAUGUUGUGGUGGUGGGGGAAGGAAAGUUCAAUCUGGAUGACACAGUGUAGAUGUUGUGGUGGUGGGGGAAGGAAAGGUCCAUCUGGAUGACACAGUGUAGAUGUUGUGGUGGUGGGGGAAGGAAAGCUCCAUCUGGAUGACACAGUGUAGAUGUUGUGGUGGUGGGAAGGAAAGUUCCAUCUGGAUGACACAGUGUAGAUGUUGUGGUGGUGGGGGAAGGAAAGGUCCAUCUGGAUGACACAGUGUAGAUGUUGUAGUGGUGGGGGAAGGAAAGGUCCAUCUGGAUUACACAGUGUAGAUGUUGUGGUGGUGGGAAGGAAAGUUCCAUCUGGAUGACACAGUGUAGAUGUUGUGGUGGUGGGGGAAGGAAAGUUCCAUCUGGAUGACACAGUGUAGAUGUUGUGGUGGUGGGGAAGGAAAGUCCAUCUGGA
rnacentral:lncRNA from 1 species